AGGUGGCGGUAAUGCACUUAUAAGUCUGUGGUCCGCCGUAAAGCAAAAAGAAGAAGAAAAAGACACCUCCUGCGCAGUUUGUAGAAGAAGAUGCGAAUGUGUUCUGACAUUGCGGUGCAAAUCAGAGGACAGAUAAACUAAAUCUGGUCUAAUAUCAUCACUUGGAAGCUAGCAGGAAUUCAUACAUGUGAAGGAAGUGAAUUCAUACAAGUGUUUACAUUCACUCACCUCUUCAUGCAGCCACCACUUGACAGCGCAGACUCUUCAGAGGCCUGCCUGAUGCCCAUCAGCGUGAGGGACUCAAGUCUUCAUCCUCCAUCAUCACAGCACAAAGACAUCUGGACGAUUGUCAAGGACGUCACAAUCUCUGUGAUAGCUGACAUAUCCCAUGGGGCAUUGCAGGAAAAGGAAAGCAAAGUCACUCUUGCGUGAGCAAAUACAGUAUGGGUGAUGAGGGGGAACAUGUAUGAAGAAGUAAUGCCAUGAUGUAUC